GGAGGUAGUGACAAUAAAUCACAAUGCGGGACUAUUCGUCUUGCAAUUGGAUUGAGAACAAUGUACAACUCUUAUCGAUAAGCCAUUGGAGGGCAAGUCUGGUGCCAGCAGCCGCGGUAAUUCCAGCUCCAAUAGCGUAUAUUAACGUUGUUGCAGUUAAAAAGCUCGUAGUUGAAGUGUGGGUGGUGCCUACUUCAUGACUUCGGUUGUGAGGUGGAUCACCACCCCCUUCCAGUAUCCAGUAGUGGGUAUUCAGUUACUUACUAUUGUGUGUUGGUCCUUUACUGUGAGAAAAUUAGAGUGUUCAAAGCAGGCGUUUGCUUGAAUAGAUUAGCAUGGAAUAAUAAUUGAAGGCUUUCGUGUUCGAUUUGAUUGGUUUGUUCAUGGAAGCAAGGUUAAAAGGAACAGUUGGGGGUAUUCAUAUUCACUAGUUAGAGGUGAAAUUCUCGGAUUUAUGGAAGAUGAACAAGUGCGAAAGCA
rnacentral:rRNA from 1 species